AACAAGGCGUACCUGCGGACCUGCGGAAGGAUCAUUACAGAGUUGCAAAACUCCCUAAACCAUUGUGAACGUUACCUAAACCGUUGCUUCGGCGGGCGGCCCGGGUCCUUCCCGGCGCCCCUCGGCCCUCGCGGGCGCCCGCCGGAGGUAAACCAAACUAUUGCAUUGUAUGGCCUCUCUGAGUCUUCUGUACUGAAUAAGUCAAAACUUUUAACAAUGGAUCUCAGAUCGGAAGAGCAC
rnacentral:misc_RNA from 1 species